CCAGAUCUUAUUACUGUGGAGCAUGAGAGUUAGAGCAAGGUCUGAGGCUGCAGACGCCGGGUGACAGGAUCCACGGACUCUCUGCCAUGUACUGGGGGGACACUACAGCCUGAUUGGGUGACCACGUCCUGGAGAUGGGGGCUGGGACUCCUCCUGUGCUGCAGCUCCUGCUCAUCCUCACAGCACUGCUCUUACCUAAGGUGGUGUCCUCUUGUGAUGAAAUACCUGAAUGCCAAACAAUCAACGUCCAGGUGUCGACCUUCCAGAUAUCGGUCACUGGACUGGCGGGGGGAUUCUUCCUGCAGAAUAUAACUGAUAUAGAUGGGAACAUAAUUC